CACGUGAGGCACCAAGCGUUGUCCGGAAUUAUUGGGCGUAAAGAGCUCGUAGGCGGCUUGGUCACGUCGGGGUGUGAAAGCCCGGGGCUUAACCCCGGGUCUGCAUUCGAUACGGGCAGGCUAGAGUGUGGUAGGGGAGAUCGGAAUUCCUGGUGUAGCGGUGAAAUGCGCAGAUAUCAGGAGGAACACCGGUGGCGAAGGCGGAUCUCUGGGCCAUUACUGACGCUGAGGAGCGAAAGCGUGGGGAGCGAACAGG
rnacentral:rRNA from 1 species